rnacentral:lncRNA from 1 species
GGAGUCUCUGAGCCCACCCUGGCUCCGGAGGCUGCCCAAUUUGCGAAUUGUUCUUUGCUCAAUUAAACUCUUUUAAAUUUUAUUCUGCUGAAGUUUUUCUGUUAACAACACUCACUAUCAAUUAAGAUAGAUAAUUUGGCUGCAUAUAAAAUUCUGAAUUGGGAAUGAUUUCCUUUAGAAUUUCAGAGGCUUUGCUUCAUUGUCUUCUGACUUCCAGUACUGCUGAGGAGAAGUCUGAUGGCCUCAUGUUUCCCAGUGCUUUAUAUAUCACUUUGUUUCCUCUUUGGAAGAUUUCUGGGGUCUUUACUUGAUCACACAGAUGGAGUCUCAUUCUGUCGCCUAGGCUGGAGUGCAAUGCGUCCCUGACCUUGCUUCAUAUACACAACAUCCUUUCUUAUCUUCUGAAGAUAUGAAUGAAAGUGAAAGUUGACUUCACCACAGGCCCAGGUCUUGUAUUGAGGACAAGGAAAUACUGCCCCAUAAUGCUGUUGAGAAUAUUUAAGAGCAGUCAGGAAACCCUUUGUAGCUUGGCUUUAUUGCAGCAAGUGUCAAAGAGGAGGACCUGAACUUCCAAGGCCAACUUGACUGGAAACCCUCUAGUCUUUAAUCCAUAGAAACCUGACUUCUGUGCCCCCCAUGCCUAGAAAACUACUUUUAAAAAGAACAUUAGUGGUCACCACGUUGGUAAAGUAUUAAUAAAUAAACAUGUUUUAGUUCUAAUCAUACU